rnacentral:rRNA from 1 species
AAACUUUCAACAAUGGAUCUCUUGGCUCCGGCAUCGAUGAAGAACGCAGCGAAAUGCGAUAAGUAAUGUGAAUUGCAGAAUUCAGUGAAUCAUCGAAUCUUUGAACGCACAUUGCGCUCCCUGGCAUUCCGGGGAGCACGCCUGUCCGAGCGCCGACC